CCUACGGGAGGCAGCAGUGAGGAAUAUUGGUCAAUGGACGAGAGUCUGAACCAGCCAAGUAGCGUGAAGGAUGACUGCCCUAUGGGUUGUAAACUUCUUUUAUAAAGGAAUAAAACGAGGCACGUGUGCCUUUUUUCAUGUACUUUAUGAAUAAGGAUCGGCUAACUCCGUGCCAGCAGCCGCGGUAAUUCGGAGGAUCCGAGCGUUUUCCGGAUUUAUUGGGUUUAAAGGGAGCGUAGAUGGGUUGUUAAGUCAGUUGUGAAAGUUUGUGGCUCAACCGUAAAAUUGCAAUUGAUACUGGCAGUCUUGAGUAGAGUUGAGGUAGGCGGAAUGCGUGGUGUAGCGGUGAAAUGCUUAGAUAUCACGAAGAACCCCGAUUGCGAAGGCAGCUUACUAGACUGUGACUGACAUUGAUGCUCGAAAGUGUGGGUAUCAAACAGGAUUAGAUACCCCGGUAGUC
rnacentral:rRNA from 1 species